UACUUUCAGCGGGGAGGAAGGGAGUAAAGUUAAUACCUUUGCUCAUUGACGUUACCCGCAGAAGAAGCACCGGCUAACUCCGUGCCAGCAGCCGCGGUAAUACGGAGGGUGCAAGCGUUAAUCGGAAUUACUGGGCGUAAAGCGCACGCAGGCGGUUUGUUAAGUCAGAUGUGAAAUCCCCGGGCUCAACCUGGGAACUGCAUCUGAUACUGGCAAGCUUGAGUCUCGUAGAGGGGGGUAGAAUUCCAGGUGUAGCGGUGAAAUGCGUAGAGAUCUGGAGGAAUACCGGUGGCGAAGG
rnacentral:rRNA from 1 species